rnacentral:lncRNA from 1 species
GAAGAGAUUGUGACAUAUCACUGAACUGAGCACCUUGGUGAUGUGACUAUCCUCUCUUGCUCAAGUGUCACAUAUUAUUGGUAUUGUGACAUACCUCUGUGACCAACACCUAUGGGUAGGAAAACUUCCACCCAGACUCAGCCCAAGGGACCCUCAUCACUUUUUUAAAAGAUAUGUGACUUGAAAAAUGUGACUGUCUUCUGCCUAUACCCUGCCCUCAGGGAAGAUUGUGGCAUAUUACUGAACUAGGCAACCUAGUGAUGUGUCUCUUCUGACAGGGGUUUGCCCACAUAGACAAUUGUGACAUAUCACUGGGCUCAGGACCCAGGUGAUGUGACUCUGCUGCCUGUUCCCAACGUUCAAGAGAGGAUUGUAACAUAUCCCUGGCCAAGAACUCAGACUUUCCUGCAGGAGUGAUGCUGACAUGUUCCUCUAUUUGGCAUCUGAGUGAUAUGACCCUUGCCAUGGUCUAGCCCACAGAUGGAAUUGUGAUGUGUUGCUCUACCCAGCACCUAGGUGAUGUGACUCCAUUUUUCUGCCUUGACACUGUCCAUAAAAGGUAUUUUGACAUAUCUCUGGGAUAUGUACCCAGGUUACAUGACUCUCCUGCCUGUGUCCUGUCCACAAAUUAUGAAAUAUUACUGGGUCCAACACCCAGGGAUGUAACUCUCAUGCCUAGGCCCUGCCAACAGGGGGCAUUAUGACAAAUCUGUGUGCCAAUAACCCAGGUAAUGUGACUCUCUUUUUUUGCAUGGUCCCUGCUCACAGGGGGCAUUAUGACAUAUUGCUGAACUCAGCAUCUAACUGAUGUGAUUCUCCUUUCUACUUUUUGCCCACAGUGGAGAUUGUGACAUAUCACUGGGCCUCAAACUAAUGUGAUGUUACACUUUCAUUUUUGAACUGAACUCAGAAGGCACUGUGACAUAUUCCUGGGAACAGCACCAAGGUUAUCCCACUGUUGAGGUCCUGAAUCUCCCACCCAGAGGCAGUGGAAAGUUGGAGAAUUAACUCUCAUGCGUGGAUCUGAUACAUAGGGUAUUGUGACAUAUUGCUAGGCCCAUUAUCUAGAUGAUGUGACUCUCUUUGCUUGCCUGUGCACCACCCAAAAGGGACAUUGUGACACAUCUCUGAACCAAUUUCCUACAUAAUAUGCCUCUUCAUUGCUGCCUGAGAAAUGCCCCCAAAGAGGAUUGUGACAUGUCUCUGGGCCCAGAACCUGAAUGUUGUGACUCUCCUGCCUUGACAUAGAGGAAAUAUUAUGAUAUGUCACUCGGCCCUGCACACAAAUGAUGUUACUCUCCUGCCUGGGCCUUGCUUAUAGAGGGGAUUGAGACAUUUUACAGGUGAAGAAUUCAAGUGACAUCAUUCUCAUUUCUCAGCCUUUCCUGCAGGUAAGAUUGUGACAUAUUACUUAGCCCAGCACACAGAUGAAAUUUUUCCGCUUGUAUGCAAACCCAGCCAACAGGGGCUAUUGUCACCAUAACACAUGAAUAAAGACCACUGUUGAGGUCCUGAAUCUUAUAUGUGAACACAUCAACAGUUGGAAUCGUGACUGUCAUAUGUAUAUCUUGCCGUAAGUGGGAUGGUGACUCAUUUCUGGACUCAGCUCACAGGAAUAGUGAUGACUCUGAUACCUGGACCAAGCCAGUAAGAGAGAUGUUGACUCUGGGGUCAACCUAGACUUAGGGGUCUGGGUCUUUUACUUGUAGGAAGGCAACAGAAGAUUAUGAAACUUACACAUAUGGUAUAAAGCUCUUGGGGAAUACAGAGUGUCAUUACAGGGCCCAGUCCACAGGUGAGAUUGUAACCCUCCUAUAUACAUCUGGCCAACAAUUUGAAUUGCCACCUUCACAUAUAGACCGAGCCCAUUGCUGAGGUCCUGAAUCUCACACAUAAACCUAUUUCACCAUUGAAAUUGUUACUGUCAUAUGUGGAUUCAGCCACAGGUUGGAUGAUGACAAAUUUCUGAACCCAACCCACUUGCACAAUGAACCCAGCCAGCAGAAGAUGUGUUGAUUUUGAGGCUUAGGGCAAGAAGCAAGGUUUUGUGUUUCUCACUUGUAUGAAAGUCACAGAAAAUUUUCAAACUCACUCAUGUUGUAUAAUGCCCUCAGGUUGUACGGAGAGUGUCAUUACAUAACUCAGCACAAAGUGGAGAUUGUGACUCUCAAGCGCACACCAAGCCAAGAGUAAAAAUUGUCAUAGACACACAUAGACAGAACCCACUGGUGAGGUCUUGAAUCUCAUUCUCAGAUGAGUCUACAGUUUGAAUUUUUAAUGUCAUGUUUGGAUCCAGCCACAGGUGGGAGAGUGACUCAUAUCUGAACCCAACUAAGAGGCACAGUCAUGAUUUUCAUACCUGGACCCAGCCAAUAUGAGAGGUGUUGACUCUCAUACCUGGACUUAGGAAAAGAGCCCACAGUAAAAAGUGUCACCCUCCCACAUGAAUAGAGACCACUGAUGAGCUUCUGAAUUGUACAUCUGGAUGCAGUUGAAAGCUGGAAUUCUGAUUCUCGUAUGUGCAUUUUGUCCAGAGGUAGAUGAUGACUCUAGGAUCAGGGUUCAUCACACAGGCCAUGCCAGUUGAGGGGGAUUGUGACAUAUCGUUGGACCAGCACAAGGGAAAUUGAAAACUCCUGCCUAGGCCAUUCCCAUAGAAGGCAUUGUGACAUAUCACUGGUCACAGCACACAGGUGAGAAUUUUACAUAAAACUGCACCCAGCACACAGGUGAAAUUGUGACUCUUGGAUGUUCAUCCAGCCAACAGUUAUGAGUGUCAUCAUCGCACAUGGACAGAGAACUCUGGUGAGGUCCUGAAUCUUGUACACGGACAUAGUCCACAGUUGGAAUUUUGACUGUCAUGUGUAGAUCCAGCCACAGGUGUGAUGUUGACCUGUUUAUGGAGUUAGCUCACAGGCACAGUGAGAACUCUCAUAUCUUGACCCAGUCAAUAGAAGAGAUGCUGACUCUUAUAGCUAGGCUUAAGGAAAUUAAUAGGGUCCUGGGUCUCCUACCUGUAUGAAAGUCACAGAAGAUUAUGACACUCAUGCAUAUUGUAUAAAGCCCUCUGGUGGUAUAGAGAUUAAUUAACAGGGCCCAGCACACAGGUGAGAUUGUGACUUUGUUAUGCAGACACCGCUGACAGUACCAUCACCCUCACAUAUAAACAGAGCCCACUGGUGAGGUCCUAAAUUUCAUGCCCUGACACAGUUCACAGUUGGGAUUGUGACUGUGAUAUUUCAAUCUGAUCACAGGUGAGAUGGUGACUCAUUUCUGGAUCCAGCUUAGAAAAUAGUGAAGGCUCUUUCACCUGGACUCAGCCAAAUGGAGAGACGUUGACUCUGUUAACUAGGCUUAGGGCAGCACAUAAGGUUCUAGGUCUCCUGCUUGCAUAAAGGUAGCAGAGGAUUAUGACACUAUACAUAUUGUACAAAGUCCCCCAUUGGUCCUGAGAGGGUCAUAACAGGGUCUGGCACACAGGUGAGACUGUGACUCUGGUAUGCACACAGGCAGAGUAAGGAUUAUCAACCUCCUACAUGGACACAGCCCACUGUUGAGAUUCUGAAUCUCACAACCAGAAGCAGUCAAAAGUUGGAGUUGUGACUCUCAUAGGUGGAUGUGGUCCACAGCUGAGAUGAUGACCUCAGACCAGGAGGCAGCACACCUGGAGGCUGUGACUCCUCUACCGAGAUGCAGUCUGCAGGUGUGAUUGUGGCUGUCAUGCACAAAUCCAGUCCACCUUUGACAUUGUGACACCCUUACUGAGACCCAGUUCACAGGAGGAGUUCACUCUGAUACAUAGAGCU